UACGUAGGGGGCGAGCGUUGUCCGAAUUUACUGGGCGUAAAGGGCGCGUAGGCGGCUCGGUAAGUCCUGUGUGAAAUCUCCCGGCUUAACUGGGAGGGGUCAUAGGAAACUACUGGGCUUGAGGACAGCAGAGGAAGAUGGAAUUCCCGGUGUAGUGGUGAAAUGCGUAGAUAUCGGGAGGAACACCAGUGGCGAAGGCGGUCUUCUGGGCUGUUUCUGACGCUGAGGCGCGAAAGCGUGGGGAGCAAACAGG
rnacentral:rRNA from 1 species